CCAUGAGAACUUAAUAGUGGGACUCAAUAAGAAAACAGUCUUAAGGUGCAGGGUAUUUAUACACAGUCAACUUUUAAAAUACUUCUGUAUUUGAAAAAUGUGUGUAAUUGAUAUAAAAGAUAACCUGAGAGUAACAGCAGCAUAGAAAUCCCAAGAGCAACUCAGGAAUAGAGAAAUGCUUGUAUUUAUUCAGUGUCUGGAGCUGCCAGGUAGUGUGCAAGGCCUUCCCAUCCACUGCCUCUGGUCUUUACAGCUGCCCGGGCCUCUCCUUUCUGUGCCUGGUGCACCGAAGUGUCACUGUUACUUCGCAUGGCUGAAGGCCCUAGACUUGAGGUCAAAGUCGGUACCCUGUUUAUGCCAUGUACAGAAUCACAAUACAGACUUUAUUUAAAGACUGAUGCUUGGCCUGUGUGAGCUUUGAUAAAAGGAAAUGAUAUAAAAACAAAUCCACCCACAAAGCGUCCAAUCAGCUUGCUGCUGUAUAAAAUGGGAUCUUUGCAGAGAGGUCAAAGCUGCUGACACUGACGCUGCCAUAGGUGUCAGAGUCCAUCUACAAGAAGGAGUGAGAUCAGUGAGAGAUGACUUGGGGAGAAAGGAGCAGAGACCUGGAGCCUGGAGAAGGCCCACCGGGGAGUGAGCAAGGUGAAGACACCAGCCUCUGACCCCUAACUCGGCCUAGAGGCUGGAAGUCACUUACAGAGAGGCAAGGUCACCAACAGGAGAUAGCCCUUGGCCAUAUCCAUACCCCUCUUGGAGAGACGCUGAAGCAUCAUGCAACCCUGUGGAGUAGUCUUACUCUUAAUUGGGAAGCACAGCCAGGACUCACAGAGUCUGGAAGCCUGCCUAACCACUGCACGUCAUGGAGAUUUCUCAAUCAGGCAUGAUCGAUCCUGUGACAGACACCAUGAGUCGGUUGGGGGACCCAAGCUCCCCUUCUUCAGCUUCCUAGAACCCAAGAGAGACUCUUCGGAGCGGAAUGCCUGGCUUAAGAGAAGCAGGACUUCAUUAAAGGCUUGAUUUAUCCCCAAAUGAUCUAUUGUUAUGCAUCAAACAUGUUUUCCCUACAAACCAGUUGGCAGAGAGCAUGCAGAUAAAUUACUACAAGAUGUAACCAGGCAAGCUGUUCAAAAGGAGAAUGAUUCUCUGUGUGUGGAGCUCAGGAGAGCACAUCUAUAAACAUGUGUUGGGAAAUCCAUUUAUUAUAAGUUGGCUGAAAGAAACAAGCUGCUGCCCUCAACUACCAGCUUGCUGCGAUAUCUGAUAGUUCUUCUGAGGUCACUGUCCAUUUUCUCAUGGGGAGGAUGGAGCAAUCAGGGUGUAGCUACUCUGCAGUAUCUUCAGAGGGGAGGGAGUGCCAGCUUAUCUAUAGACAAUGGCGAAUUCUCCCUGGCAAAAGUGAUGUCAGCCAGACUUUGUUCCCUGGAGAGAUGGGAUAGAGCAAUUCUACCUGAGUAUAAAAAUAUUUAAUUGAUGUUAGGAUCAAUUUCAAAAGAAUAAUGUAGUAUUAUAACACUACAGCACAGUGCUACGAUUUGGAAGAGAGAGCCUAGGUAAGGGAUCAGAGAAUACAGAGUAUAAAUCCCUGCCUGACCAUGGGCCACUUGCUAGCUCUGAAUUCAAAAAUUCAAAAUUUUUGAAUUUUUCUGAGAUUUCUUCCCCUCUGCUUAAAGGAAGUAGGUAUAUGCCACUUGCUCUGACAAAGUUCUGAAUUACAUAACCCAUGGGCUUCACUAUGGCCAAUAGCCACAUCAGGCUAAUUACAUCAAACUUAAAUAAACUAAAUCAAGUCUUCAGUUUCUCCAUCAUACAGGCACAUUUCAAGUACUUGGUAAUCUCGUGGAGCUGCGGCUACUGUAUCGGGCUGCACAGACAGACAAUUUCUAUUCCUGUGGAACAGCCUACUGGACAGUAGUAUCCCAGAUACAGACAAGACCCUUUAUGUAUCACUGUUUUUGCUUGCUUCAGAGUUUUCAAACCCUUUCUGACAUUAUACUUGAUCAAAGAGCUCUCUGUCCAGCAAAGCUGGGAUGCUCUCUCAUAGCCUCUUGGACAAGACCCUCUCUCUAUUUGAUGUUCUGAUCUGGCUUGAGUCUGAAAACAUAGUGAUUAAUGGAAAGCUGGAAAGAGUACUGAAUAGAAGAUUUCUGGGCCUUUAGUUAAUAACACAUCAAAUGAACAAAUGUGGAAGACCCUGUCUCCAGCCACGAAGGCAUCUCAGAAGAAAUGACAGACUAGGAACAAAUUGGAAUCAGCAAAGAACAAGAAAAGGCCCUGCCAGAAGAUCCAUCAAAUACUCUUGUUGAAGCUUGGUGAGUGGCAUCUAAACGGGCUUGUGCUAACAUGCUUGUAGACCUUCGAAUAUUGGAUUUAACUGCCUCAGAAAAAAUCUCCGUACAGAUGAAAACUACCCUGAGAUAUGUAGCUGGAGCUUAAGGGCUUUGCUGAAGGUCAAAGCAGAGUGGCCUCAGCAUUGCUUUCGUCUGCUUGAGGACCAGCUUGACUUUCUGGGGUACUUCCAAGACAUCCAUGCUGCAGCUAAUCAGAUUGUAGCCUGCUGAGAAGGCCUUCUUGAUCUGCAGAGCAUAUUUCCUGGAAGAAUAAAAAAAAGCAAGCACAAGAUGAAGUAAGCAAUGAAUGAUUAAGAGCUCACUCAGGGUCACAAGCUAGUGAAGCAUGGAGCCAGGACCUGGCCCUGGGUGGUCCCCCAAGAAUUCACAUUCUGAGUCACAGUGCUCUGGAGCCCGUCAGGGUAAGUGCUCUCUCUCUCUCUCUCUCUCUCUCUCUCUCUCUCUGGCUUCCUUCUUUAAGUUUCCAAAAAUAAUGAAUUUUUAAAAUGGUAUUUGGAGAUUUUUCUUCUGCAGUUUUUCUGGUCAUUGUAGGAAAGAGCCUUAAGUAUUACAGAAAGCAGCAUUAAAAAUAAUGAUAGACACACUGCUUCCUAGAUAAGGCAUCUUCUAGAUUCUACACAAACAAGCAUUUCAUGGCUAAAUGAAAAUAAUAAAUCCAAGGAGGCAGUGAGAUGGUUUCCCUCUGGAAUUUGUGUGCUAGAGUUUGGAUCUGGAAAAUCCUUACAGGUUUGUGUGGUAAGGCGUAGCCCCCAGCACCAGUCCAUUGCAGUACAUCUCUGUUGGGGGGUGUGGGACCUUUCAAAGGCGGAGCCUAACAGAGGCUAUAGGUCACAGGGGGCAUGGUCUUGAAGGAGAUGGUGGAGCCCCAGUCCCUUCCUCUUUUUCAUGUGAAUAGUGUCACCAUAUACCCCUUCCUCCUCACGACCUCCAAAGCAAUGAGGGCAACUGACCAUGGACUCAAACCUGCAGAACUGUGAGCCCAAGUAAAAACUUUCUUAUUUUUAAAUCGCUCAUCUCGGAUAUGGUGUUAUAGUGAUAGAAAGCUGAGUAACUCAGUUUCCAGUGAAAAUGGGCUUUAGGAUUGAGAAAGGUGGGCCACAAACUGCUUGCUUAUAAAUUAAUUUUUAUUGGAACACAGACACACCAACAAUUUUAGAUUGUCCACUCUGGUUUUUGCACUACCAGAGUUGAGUAGUGAUAAACUUUAUGGCACACAACACUGAAAAUAUGAGAUGUGAUUUACAGGAAGGUGUUUAAAUUUUUUAAAUUUUUACUACAUUAAGGACACAUUGCUGUUAAGCUCUCUGAAAAUAUUCCUCCUAAUUUUCAACACACUUGCCCGGUGAUUCUUGCCUCUUUCUGAAGCAGUUCUAUAGGUCCUUUGGUGAAUGCCUUCAGUCACACUGUUGUGGCUGCCUCGAUGUCUUGAACUGAUUCAAGCCACUCACCUUUCGUGGUCAUUUUGAAUUUGGGGAAAAGUCAGAAGUCUCACAGUGCCAGACUCAGUGAAUGAAAUGAAUGAGGACCCAGCGCAAUGCUUUCAGGAGCCUGUCAGACAUUCUUUUGUUUUCUCGCUGUCAUCUAAGUCAAAGAUCAGCAAAUCUUUUCUACAAAUGGCCGGAUGGUAUAUAUGAGGUGGGAUCAAAAUAUACAGUACAUGUUUAAAUCUAAACAACUUAUUACAGUGAAAGAUACAUUGCUGUUAGCCCCCUUUGAAAUAUUCCCAACACACUUAUGCCACCACUCUUGCUGCUCCCUGAAGAAGCUGUGGACAUCCCGUUUAGUGUCUUCCACGGUGUGACAAAGACUGUGCCAACACAGGCUCCUAAAAGCCACGUGAGUCCACACCACUACCUGACCUAACACAAUGCAAAUCCACCCCUCCAACAAGCCCGGAAGUCACAGCCAGCCCUGACUGAUCACUUUGUGCAACACACACACCAUGCUCGGCUCCACGUAAACUUUUGUUUUUUCAUUUAAUUUUCACAACUCAAGGAAACAGGACAUUCUCCUUAUUCCAUAAAUCAGGAAACUGGAGCCUAGGGAGGUUGAUUACUUAAUUCCAGGAUAUUUCACAGAAAAUGGUAGAAGGUUUUAAAGUCAAGGAGCCUGAAACCAGCCACAAAUCUUCCAGUAACUCUGCUCUGCUAUGCUGUGUGGCUCAUUUAUAGCCUCUUCAUCCUCAUGGCUUUCAAGGUACUCCAUGGGUAGCUGUUUUCUACUUUCCUAAUUAGAACCAAGGCCCAGACAUAGUUUCUCAUAAAGCUGCAUACCUCGUAGCCCCCUUCCUAGCAAGUGGCCACUGUAUGAUACAGCAUACCCUGAAAACAGGGGCACGCAUGGCAUGUUCUACUGCUUUUAUAUUUCCAGCACUCACUAGGAGUUUUCUCAGUGACUUUUAUAUAAUUGACAAACAUUAUUUAAACUUGGAGAUGUUAUAAGAACUCUAACGCAAGUCCUUGCUAGUCAUAGUCCAGGCUGAGGUCCAGCAGCUGACGUCACCUGACGACUUGUUAGGAGUGUGCUGUCUUCAGGCUCAGGUCCCGUCCCGCUCUGGGAUGGUGGAAUCAGAGUCCAUCCUCAACAAGGCGACCAGGUGAUUCCUACGCACUUUAAAGCACUGCAAUCCUUACAAAAUUAUUACCACUGAGCCCUCCUGUACCGGAACAAUCCGGGUGCAGUGGUUAGCUGGGACUGAAGCAGACUUGCAGAAGCUGACAUGCCAGUGUAUUGUAGAGAUAGAGGACUCCAGGGUGCAGAAGGAAAUGGGCUGUGAUCGUGAGGAGGAAUGAAUGGCCGCGCUCCUGUCUGUCAGGAGCCUCUCCCUUUCCCCUUGGCCCCUGCUCACCGGAGUCACCUCACUACUACUCCCCAUCAGGGCUUCAGCUUAAACCUCAGAGUCCCUUUCCUCCAGGAUGUGGGAGCCAGGUGCCCCCUUCAGCACCUGCCACUCCUCCCAUCCCAUCAGGAGCCAUCGUCAUUUCCUGUGCUCUCCCUGUGUCCCAUGGCGACAACACCAUGGGAACCCUGCUCGCCCUGGUAAUUAGCACUCACUGCUCGCUCACCUGUGUCUGGCUGGGGUGUGUAUUGGCAGAAUCCACACUUGCUCUGACUGACUCUGUUACCACCUCCCUUCCCAAGGUGGAGAGCUGAGGUCACCGAAGCAUGCUCAGUGAGGCAUGUUGAGUGGAAGAAGAGAGGAGCUGCUCCUCUCUCUGCUCUGCCCACCCGUACCUUCCCUGGUGGGAGUGAAACCACCCUAGAUUCCCUUCCCCCACCCCACAAUGUACCUCCUGGAACUCAGCCUUGACAUCCUGCAGCCACAGGCAGAACGGCUGAACCUCUUGGACUUUCUGUGCCUGAAUGGCAACGGCUUCCACAGCAAAGGCUUGCUCCUGACUUGUUUGACCGAAUCCACUUAAAAAGAAAGUAAUGAACGGAGAGGCAAGAGUCUCUGAGUGCACCAUUUCCAGACUUGUGCACUUUCCACUUAGAGACUCGAGCUCACUGCAUUCAUCCUACAGCCAGAGCACAGGUAGGGCAUGGAACUGUUGCCAAGGACUUGAAAUCUUUGGCUGUGUCACGCAUUUGCUGGAAAUGGAAAUAAAUGUUACUCCUACUCUUGUA